rnacentral:rRNA from 1 species
CAGCCGCCGCGGGAAUACGAAGGGUGCAAGUGUUAAUCGGAAUUACUGGGCGUAAAGCGUGCGCAGGCGGUUCGUUAAGACAGAUGUGAAAUCCCCGGGCUUAACCUGGGAACUGCAUUUGUGACUGGCGAGCUAGAGCAUGGCAGAGGGGGGUAGAAUUCCACGUGUAGCAGUGAAAUGCGUAGAGAUGUGGAGGAAUACCGAUGGCGAGGGCAGCCCCCUGGGCCAAUACUGACGCUCAUGCACGAAAGCGUGGGGAGCAAACAGGAUUAGAUACCCCCGUAGUCCCUGUCUCUUAUAC